rnacentral:rRNA from 1 species
GAUGAACGCUGGCGGCGUGCCUAAUACAUGCAAGUCGAGCGAACAGACGAGAGUGCUUGCACUCUCUGACGUUAGCGGCGGACGGGUGAGUAACACGUGAGUAACCUACCUAUAAGACUGGGAUAACUUCGGGAAACCGGAGCUAAUACCGGAUAAUAUUUAGCUUCGCAUGAAGCAAUAGUGAAAGACGGUUCUGCUGUCACUUAUAGAUGGACCCGCGGUGUAUUAGCUAGUUGGUGAGGUAACGGCUCACCAAGGCAACGAUACAUAGCCGACCUGAGAGGGUGAUCGGCCACACUGGGACUGAGACACGGCCCAGACUCCUACGGGAGGCAGCAGUAGGGAAUCUUCCGCAAUGGACGAAAGUCUGACGGAGCAAUGCCGCGUGAGUGAAGAAGGUUUUCGGAUCGUAAAACUCUGUUGUAAGGGAAGAACAAGUACGUUAGUAACUGAACGUACCUUGACGGUACCUUACCAGAAAGCCACGGCUAACUACGUG